GACGAACGCUGGCGGCGUGCUUAACACAUGCAAGUCGAACGGAAAGGCCCUGCUUUUGUGGGGUGCUCGUGUGGCGAACGGGUGUGUAACACGUGAGUAACCUGCCCUUGACUUUGGGAUAUCUUUUGGAAACUGGGGCUAAUACAGGAUAGGAGCUCCUGCUGCAUGGUGGGGGUUGGAAAGUUUCGGCGGUUGGGGAUGGACUCGCGGCUUAUCAGCUUGUUGGUGGGGUAGUGGCUUACCAAGGCUUUGACGGGUAGCCGGCCUGAGAGGGUGACCGGCGACAUUGGGACUAAGAGACGGCCCAGACUCCUACGGGAGGCAGCAGUGGGGAACAUUGCACAAUGGGCGGAAGCCUGAUGCAGCAACGCCGCGUGCGGGAUGACGGCCUUCGGGUUGUAAACCGCUUUCGCCUGUGACGAAGCGUGAGUGACGGUAAUGGGUAAAGAAGCACCGGCUAACUACGUG
rnacentral:rRNA from 1 species